AUUGAACGCUGGCGGCAGGCUUAACACAUGCAAGUCGAGCGAGCGGCGGACGGGUGAGUAAUGUCUGGGAAACUGCCUGAUGGAGGGGGAUAACUACUGGAAAAGGUAGCUAAUACCGCAUACCAUCAAAUGUGCCCAGAGGGGAUUAGCUAGUAGGGGGGGUAAUGGCUCACCUAGGCGCAGAUCCCUAGCUGGUCUGAGAGGAUGACCAUCCCACCUGGAACUGAGACACGGGACAUACUCCUACGGGAGGCAGCAGUGGGGAAUAUUGCACAAUGGGCGCAAGCCUGAUGCAGCCAUGCCGCGUGUGUGAAGAAGGCCUUCGGGUUGUAAAGCACUUUCAGCGAGGAGGCGUUACUCGCAGAAGAAGCACCGGCUAACUCCGUGCCAGCAGCCGCGGUAAUAC
rnacentral:rRNA from 1 species